rnacentral:lncRNA from 1 species
CAUUUUUAUUUAUUUUGACAACAUCUGUACUCUAAUUGGAUUCUUUAACACAUUUUAAAUUAAUUUGAUUUCUUUAUACAUUUAGAUUUGGUGGGCUGAGUUCCAUCCUACAGCAUGAAAAUAAAGGCCAUACUUUCAGUGUGAAGGAGAAAGCUAGAAGCAGGGUGGAACAAAGACACAGCCUAGCUGCCGUAUCUGCCCUGGACUCUAUGCCUUGAUGAAAUAGACUUCUCUGUAUGGAGUGAAGUGCCACUUGUCAGUGGAAAUAGUGUCAAUUCUGCUUGCUAAAGAAGAUAUAAG